rnacentral:rRNA from 1 species
AACGAACGCUGGCGGCAUGCCUAACACAUGCAAGUCGAACGAGACCUUCGGGUCUAGUGGCGCACGGGUGCGUAACGCGUGGGAACCUGCCCUUAGGUUCGGAAUAACUCCCCGAAAGGGGUGCUAAUACCGGAUAAUGUCUUCGGACCAAAGAUUUAUCGCUUUUGGAUGGGCCCGCGUUGGAUUAGCGAGUUGGUAGGGUAAAAGCCUACCAAGGCGACGAUCCAUAGCUGGUCUGAGAGGAUGAUCAGCCCCACUGGGACUGAGACACGGCCCAGACUCCUACGGGAAGCAGCAGUGGGGAAUAUUGGACAAUGGGCGAAAGCCUGAUCCAGCAAUGCCGCGUGAGUGAUGAAGGCCGUAGGGUUGUAAAGCUCUUUUACCCGGGAUGAUAAUGACAGUACCGGGAGAAUAAGCUCCGGCUAACUCCGUG